GACGAACGCUGGCGGCGUGCUUAACACAUGCAAGUCGAACGGAAAGGCCCUGCUUUUGUGGGGUGCUCGAGUGGCGAACGGGUGAGUAACACGUGAGUAACCUGCCCUUGACUUUGUGAUAACUUCAGGAAACUGGUGCUAAUACCGGAUAGGAGCUCCUGCUGCAUGGUGGGGGUUGGACAGUUUCGGUGGUUGGGGAUGUACGCGCGGGUUAUCAGCUUGUUGGGGGGGUAGUGGCUUACCAAGGCUUCGACUGGUGGCCCGCCUGGGAGGGUGAACGGCGACAUUGGUCCUAAGGGAGGCAGCAGACUCCUACGGGAGGCAGUAGUGGGGAAUAUUGCCCAAUGGGCGGACGCCUGAUGCAACGGCGCCGCGUGCGGGAAGACCGCCUUCGUGUGAGAAACCGCUUUCGGCUGUGACGUAGCGUGAGUGACGGUAAUGGGUAAAGAAGCACCGGCUAACUACGUG
rnacentral:rRNA from 1 species